CGGGUGAGUAACACGUAUCCAACCUGCCGUCUACUCUUGGCCAGCCUUCUGAAAGGAAGAUUAAUACAAGAUGGCAUCAUGAGUCCGCAUGUUCACAUGAUUAAAGGUAUUCCGGUAGACGAUGGGGAUGCGUUCCAUUAGAUAGUAGGCGGGGUAACGGCCCAUCUAGUCUUCGAUGGAUAGGGGUUCUGAGAGGAAGGUCCCCCACAUUGGAACUGAGACACGGUCCAA
rnacentral:rRNA from 1 species